AUUUUAUACAAAUAUAUAUUAUUCUGGAGUAACAUUAUAUUUAACUAGUUAAAUUGUUUAACCACUUGUAAUUCGAGGUUAAUUUUUCCUGGCAUCAAUAGUGUCUUACUGAGAUAAUAAUGGAUUAUGUUAAGACAGUCUUAUUCUUUCCAGUUGAAAAGACUGUUCUCUAGCAUGGGCAGAAAAGAAAGUCUGUUUUUUCCUUGAUAAAGCAAAUGAAAGUAAAGUGAAAAAAGCAUUGCUGGAGCACACAUCUAGACAAAGCUGCUUCAUGCUUAAGAAGAAAGCCAGCUGUGAAGCGAUACUGGCCAUUUAUGGUCAGAUGAUGGCUUUCAAUGGCAUCAGUUAAAUUUAAAGAUACCAAGAAAAUUGUGUGACAUUGCAUUAAAAAGCUUUUAGACCGCUCUUUGGAUACAAAAUGCAGUUUUCGUGUAACUUUUCUCUCUCCAAGCUAGUGGAGAAUAAGGCAAUGAUGUUUGUACUUUAGGGCAGACUGGGAGUUAUUGUUACAGAAUCCAAAUCCAGCCAAGCAAGAAUUGGGUACAAGUUAUUCAUUUCAAUUGUGUCUUUUAUACUGUACUUUUUAAAAGAUUGAUGUUUCCUUUUACCAAGAAUUAGCUGCUAUUCAUAUAUUUUAUUCAAUUACAGUUAUUAUGUCCUGUUGAAUUUUUUUUCACUACUCCUACCACUGUCCUUUCAGUAUUCGCAAAAAAGCUCUUACAAUAUUCCAUUCUGUGAGAAGUUUCGACCAAAAAGUGAGUGUAACUCUGAUAACACUUAUUUAUAGAGCAGUUGGCUUUGAUGAACAAUGAACUGUUACUUGAUUUUACUCUUGGUUCAAGGACAUCCACAAGUGCUGUCAAAUUGAAAGCACACAAGUCACCUUCCUAAAGAGGUAAGUGGUUUUCCUUCCUCUCUCUCCUGGACAGAGGUCAAUUUCUGUUCAGAUUGGUUUGUUUAUUCCAUGAGAAUAUGGUAUUUAAAACACAUAAUUAAAAUGUACAGUUUGAAAAGUUUGGACAUAUGUAUACACUUGUUUAACCAUCACCAGUCAUUAUAAUGAGCACAUCCUUUAUCCUCAGAAGUUUUCUCAUGCCGUUUGCAAUGGAUUCCUUUCCUCCUGUCUCUACACUCCAGCCCCAGGCAACCAACGAUCUGCUUUGUCACUGUGGAUUAGUUUGUUUGAUUUAGCAUUUUAUAUCAAAGAAAUCAUAGAGUCUGUAUCUUUUUUUGUCUUGCUUCUUUCACUCAGCAUAAUUAUUUUGAGAUUUAUUGUGUUGUAGCAUGAAUAAGUAGUUAAUUUAUAUCUACUGGUGUGAAGUAUUCUAUUGCAUGGAAACAACACAAUUUAUGUAUCUAUUCACACAUUGAUGUACUUGGCAAGUAAAGUUGCUAUGUGGUGUUAUAAUUUGCAUUUUCCUAGUGAAUAAUGAUGUUCAGCAUCUUUUCAUAGAUUAGUUGGUCAUCCAGCUACUUUGGGGAAGUAUCUGCUCAAAUAUUUUGAUUAUUUUAAAAAAUUGGAUUGUUUGAUUUUUAGUAAGUUUCAGUAAACAUUUGAGUUUUUAGAAUUGUUUAUGCAUUUGGUAUACAGGCCCUUUGUGAGAUAUGUGAUGUGCAAAUAUUUUCUCCCAGUCUGUGGCUUGUCUUUUCAUUCUCUUUCAAUGACUUUCAAAGUGUUAUUUUUAAUUGUAAUGAAGUCCAACUCAUUAAUUUUUUUGUUAUGGUUUGUGUUUUCAUUGACAUAUCAAUAAAAUCUUUGCCUAAUUUCAUGCCAUAAAGAUAUUUUUCCUGUAUUUUCUCCCUGAAGAUAUAUAGUAUUUUGUUUUACAUUUAGGUCUAUUACUCAUGUUGAUCCAAUUUGAGUUAAUUUCUGUAUAUGGUAUGAGGUAUUAAGAGAGUUCAUUUUUUACAUGAAUAUUCAAUAACUAUAGCACUAUUCAUUCAAAAGAUUAUCCUGUGUGCACUGAAUUGCUUUAUAAAAACUCAGUUGUUCAUAUAUUUAUAUGUCUGUUUCUAGACUCUUAGUUGUUUCAUUUAUCUGUCUGUCUUUACACAAGUGCCACACUCUAUGAUUAAUGUAGUUUUAUAAUAAGCCUUGAACCUAGGUAGCAUUAUUCCUGUAACUUUAUUUUUCAAAGUUGUUAUGACUCUUUAUAUAAGCUUUAUAAAUGGCUUUUUGAAUUUCCAUAUGAAUUUUGAAAGUGGUCUGUCAUUUCUAUUAAAAAGAAGACAAAAACCCCUGGGAAUUUUAUUAAGAUUGCAUUAAAUCUAUAGGUCAAUUUAAGAAGAAUUGACAUUUUAAAACUAUUAAGAUUUCUAAUUCAUGCACAUAGUAUCUCUUUGCUUAUCUAAGACAUAAUUUUUUCAACGUUUUGUAGUUUUCAGUGUAUUAGUCCUUUACAUGUUUCCAGAAAUUUUUCCUGUUUCACUUAUUUCUAGUUUCUAAAGGUAGAAGUUGAGAUAAUUGAUUUCAGAUCUUAUUUCUUUUCUAAUGCAGAUCUUUCACACUAUAAAUUACUGAUUUAGUGGCAUGCAUAAAUUUCAGUAUGCUGCAUUUUUAUUUUUAUUUAAAAAUUAUUUGUAAUUUAUUUUUUAUUCUUCCUUUGACUCCCUCACCGUUCAGUUUUUAGAAGUACUUUAGCUAGUUCUCUCUCUCUCAAUUUUAUUUAAUUUCAUUGUGAUCAAAAAAUAUACUUUGAAUAACAAAUUUUUUUAAGUUUAUAAAGAUUUAUUUUCUGGUUAAGAAUAUAGUCUAUUUUGGUGACUAAUUCAUGAGCCCCUGAAAAUAAGGCAUAUUUUCAGUUUUAAAUAAAGUGCUAAAUGCCAGUUAUGUCAAUUUGGUCUCCUAAAUGCCAAUUAUGUCAAUUUGGUUUAUGAUAUUGUUUGGCUGUUCUCUCAUGUAUCUUUAUUGACUCUCUAUCUACUUAUCAAUUAUUGACACAGGAGUAUUUAAAUUGCCAACUAUAAUUAUGGAUUUAUCAAUUUCUCCUUCCAGUUCUAUCAGUUUAUACUUUAUGUAUUUUGAAAUUUUGUUGAAUUCUAGGUGGUAAAGCCCAUUAUCACUCAAAUUACGAUCAAAUGACCCAGUUUCUUGGGAAUGCUAACAUUCUUGAAUUUACAUUUUCUAUUGCUAUGCCUCCAAAUUAAUCGCCCCAUAUAAAGAGAUGCUUAGGCUGAGAGUAUGCCCAGGAUGGAAAGAGGAGACAAACACACGAAGUACCCAAUAGCAUUGUCUUCAAAGGACAGGCUCUGAUAGCCGCUGGAGGUGGCAUUGAAGAUUUAAUUUGGAAAGAUGUCAAGAAAACAAAGGAUUUCUCUCUGACCUCCUUUCCCCAAUGGAAAAGAUGAUAUCACUUCGAAGUUUCUUCUAAAACAAAGAAUAACUUUUCAAAAGUUUCCUUUGAAAUUGGAGUCAGUAAAGCUGAACAAAAAUAUCAUAAACACACCUAAUCUUUGUCCACUUCCCAAGCCUGUCCCAAUUUCUGAUGAAUGCUACACUCAGAACCAUUUCUCAUAUAAAGAGAACAUUUGCUAUUUAUUGGAAAAAGUUCCAUUUUUUUGACAAUGUACUGUAAUUCCUUGGGAGUAGGCUCCUAAAUUGUCAAUCUUGGCAUAUGAAAAAUUCAAACGAAUUAACAAUAAAAUUGUUAUAUUAGUCUGUUCUCACACUGCUGUGAAGAAACAUCAGAGACUGGGUAACUUAGAAAGGAAAGAGGUUUACAUGACUCACAGUUCUGCGUUGCUGGGGAGGCCUCAGAAACUUACAAUAAUGGCAGAAGGCAAAACAGAAGCAGGCACCUUACUCACAGUGCAGCAGGAUGGAAUAAGUGCAAGCAAGGGAUACGCUGGAUGCUUAUAAAACCAUCAGAUCUCCUGAGAACUCACUCACUAUCAUGAGAACAGCAUGGGGGAACCGCCACCAUCAUCCAAUUACCUCCACCUGUUCCCGCCCUUGACACAUGGAGAUUAUGGGGAUUACAAAUCAAGGUGGUGAAGAAAUGACAUAUGACAAAGCACAACAGAAAAUAUUCCUGAGGGUAAGCCAUGGCGUUUCAUCAAUUAACAAUAAAGGAAGAAAGCAGGCCUAAAGCCUAUGAUGGAAAAAGAAAAUGGCAGAAGAGAUUGUGAACUUAAGUAAAGUAUUGUAGGUUCAGGAGUACAUGUGCAGAAUGUGCAGUGUUGUUACAUAGAUAAAUGUGUGUCAUGAUGGUUUGCUGCACGGAUCAUCUCAUCACCCAGGUAUUAAGCCCAGCAUCCAUUAGCUAUUCUUUCUUAUGCUCUCCCUUCUAAAAAGUGUUCUACCCUUCACCUUAAAAAAUGCCCCAGUGUGUGUUCUCCACCCCCAUCAUGUGUGCAUGUGUUCUCAUAAUUCAGCUCCCACUUAUAAGAGAGAGCAUGCAGCAUUUGGUUUUCUUUUCCUGCAUUAAUUUGCUGAUAAUAAUGGCUUCCAUGACCUUGCAAAGGACAUGAUUUUGUUCCUUUUUAUGGCUGCAUAGUAUGUAUAUGUACCACAUUUCCUUUAUCCAGUCUAUCAUUUGAUGGGCAUUUAGGUUGAUUCCAUCUCUUUGCAAUUGUGAAGAGUGCUGCAAUAAAUAUACACAUGCAUGUAUCUUUAUAAUAAAAAGAUUUAUAUUCCUUUGGUUAUAUAUCCAGUAAUUGGGAUUGCUGGGUCGAAUCGUAUUUCUGCCUCUAGGUCUUUGAGGAAUGGCCACACUGUCUUCUACAAUGGUUGAGCUAAUUUACACUCCCACCAAUAGUGCAUAAGUAUUCCCUUUUCUCGGCAACCUCACCAUCAUCUGCUAUUAUUUUUUUUGACUUUUUAGUAAUAGCCAUUCUAACUGGUGUUAGAUGGUAUCUGAUUAUGGUUUUGAUUUGCAUUUCACUAAUAAUCAGUGAUGUUGAGCUUUUCUUCAUGUAUUUGCUGGCCACAUGUAUGUCCUCUUUUGAGAAGUGUCUGUUCAUGUCCUUUGCCCACUUUUUAAUGUGGUUGUUUGGUGGUUUUUUUCUUGUAAAUUGUUUAAGCUUCAUGUAGAUGCUGGAUAUUAGACCUUUAUCAGGUGGAUAGAGUGCAAAAAUUUUCUUCCGCUCUUUACAUUGUCUGUUUCCUCUGUUGAUAGUUUCUUUUGCUGUGCAGAAACUCUUUUGUUUAAUUAAAUCCCAUUUGUCAAUUUUUGCUUUUGUUCCAAUUGCUUUUGGCAUCUUCGUCAUGAAAUCUUUGCCUGUGCCUAUAUCCUGAAUAGAAUUGCCUUUGUUUUCUUAUAGGGUUUUUAUAGUUUUGGGUUUUACAUUGAAGUCUUUAAACCAUAUUGAGUUAAUUUCUGUAUAAGUUGUAAGGAAUGGGUCCUGUUUCAAUUUUCUGCAUAUAGCUAGGCAGUUCUUUCUGUACCAUUUAUUAAACAGGGAAUCUUUUCCCCAUUGCUUGUUUUUGUCAGAUUUGUCAAAGAUCAGAUGGUUGUCAGUGUGUAGUCUUAUUUCUGCGUUCUCUAUUCUGUUCCAUUGAUCUGUGUGUCUGUUCUUGUACCAGUAUCAUGCUGUUUUGAUUACUGUAGCCCUGUAGUAUAGUUUGAAUUCAGAUAGCAUGAUGCCUUCAGCUUCGUUCUUUUUGCUUAGAAUAGCCUUGGCUAUUUGGGCUCUUUUUUUGUUUUCAUAGGUAUUAUAAAACAGUUUUUUCUAAUUCUAUGAGGAAUGUCAAUGGUAGUUUAACAGGAACAGCACUGAAUCUAUAAAUUACUUCAGGCAGUAUGGCCAUUUUCACAAUAUUGAUUCUUCCUAUUCAUGAACGUGAACUUUUUUGUGUUUACUUUUGUCAUCCCUGACUCCUCUGAGCAGAGCUUUGUAGUUACCUUGUAGAGAUAUUUCACAUCCUUUGUUAGCUGUAUUCCUAUGUGUUUUAUUCUGUUUGUGAUGAUUGUGAUUGGGAGUUCAUUUGUGAUUUGACUCUCAACUUGACUCUUGUUGGUGUACAGGAAUGCUAACAAUGUUUGC
rnacentral:lncRNA from 10 species